AUGGGUCAGUGAUGAGGCAGUGUAGAUGCAGCACUGGGUAAGGUGACUGAAUUGGCCUUCAGGAGGUAUUCCAUAAUGCUCUGCUCUGGAGAUCUUU
rnacentral:snoRNA from 1 species